AUUUGAAGAGCUUGCUCAGAUAUGACGAUGGACAUUGCAAAGAGUGGCGAACGGGUGAGUAACACGUGGGAAACCUACCUCUUAGCAGGGGAUAACAUUUGGAAACAGAUGCUAAUACCGUAUAACAAUAGCAACCGCAUGGUUGCUACUUAAAAGAUGGUUCUGCUAUCACUAAGAGAUGGUCCCGCGGUGCAUUAGUUAGUUGGUGAGGUAAUGGCUCACCAAGACGAUGAUGCAUAGCCGAGUUGAGAGACUGAUCGGCCACAAUGGGACUGAGACACGGCCCAUACUCCUACGGGAGGCAGCAGUAGGGAAUCUUCCACAAUGGGCGAAAGCCUGAUGGAGCAACGCCGCGUGUGUGAUGAAGGGUUUCGGCUCGUAAAACACUGUUGUAAGAGAAGAAUGACAUUGAGAGUAACUGUUCAAUGUGUGACGGUAUCUUACCAGAAAGGAACGGCUAAAUACGUGCCAGCAGCCGCGGUAAUACGUAUGUUCCAAGCGUUAUCCGGAUUUAUUGGGCGUAAAGCGAGCGCAGACGGUUAUUUAAGUCUGAAGUGAAAGCCCUCAGCUCAACUGAGGAAUUGCUUUGGAAACUGGAUGACUUGAGUGCAGUAGAGGAAAGUGGAACUCCAUGUGUAGCGGUGAAAUGCGUAGAUAUAUGGAAGAACACCAGUGGCGAAGGCGGCUUUCUGGACUGUAACUGACGUUGAGGCUCGAAAGUGUGGGUAGCAAACAGGAUUAGAUACCCUGGUAGUCCACACCGUAAACGAUGAGUGCUAGGUGUUUUGAAGGGUUUCCGCCCCUUAAGUGCCGCAGCUAACGCAUUAAGCACUCCGCCCGGGGGAGUACGACCGCAAGGUUGAAACUCAAAGGAAUUGACGGGGACCCGCACAAGCGGUGGAACCAUGGGGGUUUAAUUCGAAGCAACGCGAAGAACCUUACCAGGUCUUGACAUCCCUUGACAACUCCCGAAAAUGGAGCGUUCCCUUCGGGGACAAGGUGACAAGUGGUGGCAUGGGUUGUCGUCCACCUCCUGUCCUGGGAAAGUUU
rnacentral:rRNA from 1 species